rnacentral:rRNA from 1 species
UACGAAGGGGGCUAGCGUUGUUCGGAAUCACUGGGCGUAAAGGGCGCGUAGGCGGCUUUGUAAGUCGGGGGUGAAAGCCUGUGGCUUAACCACAGAAUUGCCUUCGAUACUGCAUGGCUUGAGACCGGAAGAGGUAAGUGGAACUGCGAGUGUAGAGGUGAAAUUCGUAGAUAUUCGCAAGAACACCAGUGGCGAAGGCGGCUUACUGGUCCGGUUCUGACGCUGAGGCGCGAAAGCGUGGGGAGCAAACAGG